GGGCGGCCUGCCUCGCCCUGCCUCCUCUCUUCCUCCUCCUUUCUUCUUCCUCCUCCCCUUCCUCCUCCUUCUUCUUCCUCUUCCUCUUCCUCUCUCCUCUCUCUCUCUUUUCCUCUCCCCGCCACUCUCGCACUCCCCAUCCUCCUCUCUCCCCUCCCUUCGCAGAGCCACAGGAAAAGAGGAAAGUCGGCUUCGACUGCCAUCUUUUGGGGAUUUGGAAAAACGACUCGGUAGUGCUGUCCUCAGUCUCUGGGGGCAUACUUCUUUCCCGAUCUGGCACAAACGACCCCUCAGGGCUUAAAGACUUGCGAAUGAUGGAUGAUCAAGAUUGCAUUCUUACCCAAAUACUCUUCGUGAUUGCCUGCUUUGCGGCUUUGGGAUUCUUCAGGGAGUAGAGAAUAUUCACACGGGUUGACAUCCCAGUCUUCUCAGCAUUUCCUCCAGAGCCCACUGCCUCAAGGAAGAUGUCUGUCAUUAAAGGGCAAAUGAUCUCCUUGGAAUUCCUAGUUGGCCAGGAGCACUGCCUGAGAAGGAAGGCUGAGGAAUUCAGGGAAGGUUUAAAUUGGAUUCCACCAACCUUUUCCCACAAUUUGAUGAGCAUUUUAAUUCUGUGCAACUGGACUCAGUGUUCCCAGGUCCUAACUCAACUCUGAAAUGGGAUUCAGAAAUCCUCACUGCAUUCUCACCUGUCCAGACAAGAUGGAAAAGUCUAAUUCCAUUUCAAUUCAUUAUUUGUUCAACCAGUAGUUAUUGGACACCAACUGUAUGCUAGGUGCUCAGGGGAAUUCAUCAGUCCCCUGGAGUUUACAGUAGAGCAGACACAGCAAAUACUUGUUACUAUUGUGCACAGUCAUGAGAACUUAUUUUAAAUAAAGGAUGUUGGUGAAUGAAACACGUUUACUAAAUCCAACGGCUGCCGUCACAAGAAUAUCCUGCAAAUGCUAGCUUCUUGUUCUCUAUUGUUAAUAUAUGAAAAAUGUGACUGCCUUCCCCGGUGAGUAUAGACACUUCCUGUACAUAUUUUUCAAAAUGUAUCAAUGGUCAAGGGGCCAGUAGGAGCUAGACAUGAGGGUUUUCUAAGAGUUUCACCACACCUUCUAUCCUGGGUCUAUGAGUUUGAUCCUUGCAUCUCCAGGCAUCUGCAUAGGACUGUGAAAGUUAAUGGGAGAAGCAGAACAAAUGGAGAUUUCUGGA
rnacentral:lncRNA from 1 species